rnacentral:rRNA from 1 species
CCUACGGGUGGCAGCAGUGAGGAAUAUUGGUCAAUGGGCGCAAGCCUGAACCAGCCAAGUCGCGUGAAGGAUGACUGCCCUCCGGGUUGUAAACUUCUUUUAUAAAGGAAUAAAGUGAGGCAAGUGUGCCUACUUGUAUGUACUUUAUGAAUAAGGAUCGGCUCACUCCGUGCCAGCAGCCGCGGUAAUACGGUGGAUCCGAGCGUUAUCCGGAUUUAUUGGGUUUAAAGGGAGCGUAGGUGGGUUGUUAAGUCAGUUGUGAAAGUUUGCGGCUCAACCGUAAAAUUGCAAUUGAUACUGGCAGCCUUGAGUGCAGUUGAGGUAGGCGGAAUUCGUGGUGUAGCGGUGAAAUGCUUAGAUAUCACGAAGAACUCCGAUUGCGAAGGCAGCCUACUAAACUGCCACUGACGUUGAGGCUCGAAAGUGUGGGUAUCAAACAGGAUUAGAUACCCCUGUAGUC